GUGAAGCUGGAAUCGCUGUAAUCGCGGAUCAGAAUGCCGCGGUGAAUACGUUCCCGGGUCUUGUACACACCGCCCGUCACACCAUGGGAGUCGGAAAUGCCCGAAGUCUGUGACCGAACCGAAAGGAAGGAGCAGCCGAAGGCAGGUCGGAUGACUGGGGUGAAGUCGUAACAAGGUAUC
rnacentral:rRNA from 1 species